rnacentral:rRNA from 1 species
UACGUAGGGGGCUAGCGUUAUCCGGAAUUACUGGGCGUAAAGGGCGCGUAGGCGGUCUUUCAAGCCAGAAGUGAAAGGCUACGGCUCAACCGUAGUAAGCUUUUGGAACUGUAAGACUUGAGUGCAGGAGAGGAGAGUGGAAUUCCUAGUGUAGCGGUGAAAUGCGUAGAUAUUAGGAGGAACACCAGUAGCGAAGGCGGCUCUCUGGACUGUAACUGACGCUGAGGCACGAAAGCGUGGGGAGCAAACAGGAUUAGAUACCCUGGUAGUCCCU